GCAAGAUGAGUGCUUCAGCCCCCAGGUCCAGGAUGGGCUGUGAAAAGGCCUGGCUUCGAGCCACCAGGUUACGGAUCAGCAUGCAGGCCUGUUUCUGGGAGGGAGAACUGAAGGGCCAGGACGCACAGGGCUGCACAGCUCUGCUCGCACACCUGUGGGCGUCAUGGGAAUGGCUGAGACAGUCAGAUGCCCUGGCGGGCCCCCAUAGUUAAUCCCCCAGAUAAGCCUUUUUCACACAUCGGAGCCACAACAACUGAGGUCAACGGUGCUGUGGCAUGAGAAGGGGCUCGUUCAACUUCAAGGCAAUAGGAAUCAAUUUUCUAGUGAUAUCAACUGAAAAUACCUUGAGGAAAUAACACCCUGAGGAAGUGAACACUCUGAACACCAACUGUGGUCCCUUAGUCACAUUUCCCACCAAAGAAGACAGGGCUCCUGGAGGAAUGGCUGAUUCUAGGACUGAGAAGAAAACAGGCCAGAGGAGACGAGCCAGGAACAUCUUGUCAGACCAGAAAGCAAGGAGGCUUCUAA